rnacentral:rRNA from 1 species
AGUGAACGCUGGCGGUAGGCCUAACACAUGCAAGUCGAACGGCAGCACAGUAAGAGCUUGCUCUUACGGGUGGCGAGUGGCGGACGGGUGAGGAAUACAUCGGAAUCUACUUUUUCGUGGGGGAUAACGUAGGGAAACUUACGCUAAUACCGCAUACGACCUACGGGUGAAAGCAGGGGAUCUUCGGACCUUGCGCGAUUGAAUGAGCCGAUGUCGGAUUAGCUAGUUGGCGGGGUAAAGGCCCACCAAGGCGACGAUCCGUAGCUGGUCUGAGAGGAUGAUCAGCCACACUGGAACUGAGACACGGUCCAGACUCCUACGGGAGGCAGCAGUGGGGAAUAUUGGACAAUGGGCGCGAGCCUGAUCCAGCCAUACCGCGUGGGUGAAGAAGGCCUUCGGGUUGUAAAGCCCUUUUGUUGGGAAAGAAAAGCAGCAGGUUAAUACCCCGCUGUUCUGACGGUACCAAAAGAAUAAGCACCGGCUAACUUCGUG